CUUUAUCUCCAGAACCGCUUAACGUAGAACAAUGGGACCAAAACCAUUCCUCAUUAACAGCCCCAAUGCACAUCUGGAAAAUAUUUUCAUCGACCCUGGACCCCCUCUUGGGGGGUAUACAGGGGGGUCAUGUGUCAGAUCUCCGGAAACUUAAAUACAAUGGGUAUGUUUUGACUCGAUAUUCUAAAAGAGCAUAAAAAACUAAGGAACUUUGCCACCUUGGUUUAUUAUUUUUAUUUUUCUUCCGAACACCAGGGCCGAUUUUUUUUUAAUGAAUUUUUGGGUACUGUGUUGGCUGCCCCCCUUCAAGCACCAUAUUGCAUCAGAUGAGUUGAAAUUACUUCAAAACUACUGAAAAUGAUCUCAUCUUACAUUAAAUAUUACACUUGAGAUAAGUUUGGGCCGUCGGACCCCUUUUGGGGGCCCCUCAAAGUAUUUUGUGUUCAAAGAAACCAUAGGUUAAAAAGUUAAAUGAGACCCUAUAUCUUGUUGCAUACCACUCGAAAGCUCUUUUCAAUAGCUAUUCAAAAAUGCUACGCAUAGUUUUCUGCUCAAAGUAGAAAUAAAAUGGCGGCUGUUUUAAAGCUCGCCGGACAUGGUAUUUUGAGAGGUUAUCCAUCGUUAGCACGGAAAUAUUUGCUUGGAGGUAAAAUUCCUGAGAAUAUGAAAAACGUGUCUUUCAAAUUCAUGCCGAAGAAAAAAAAGUUUACUGCUGUAGUCCAAACAAAACCAAAAUGGCGACUGAAUAACGAAAAUUGAAGGUGAUUCAGACCACCCGGCCACUAUCUUUAAUUCGAGGCCACCUUACAGUAGAA
rnacentral:lncRNA from 1 species